GGCGGUUCUGGCCAGCUGGUAUCCCUCUCAACUGCACCUGCCACGAUUUACAACCUUUCCCGGGCAUCCCUUUAAAUCUCUAGUUCUGAUGUAGUCUCCAGGGAAAGUGGACUCCAAGCUCUUCUCCACCUCAAAUGUCAGAGAGCUUGGAGAACAAAUCUCCCUUAUACAAGUUUCCAAACCGCCACCUUACUGUUGAAGAGCCUUGUGUACCAUCGAUCUACUCCAAAGCAUCAUCCCUUCUAGUGAAUGACAUUCUACAUCAAGGGAUCAUGGGACAAUUCUUCCCUUCGGAAUAUGUAUCGCAACCUUCACAUUUGAAGACCACAUGUUGCAGGGUUCCAAGCACAGCAGCUGGUGCACAUAAAUAGCAACUCCCUUUUCUCCCAAUCCCAAAUGGGGUAUUGCAGCAAGCCUCAUCAGGGUUAAGCAUUCUAAUCUACUUCCUGCUUCUCCAGUCUGUCUUGUUCCCUGACGAGUGACCGUGUUGACCUUUGGUACAUACUGUUGUGUUAAAGAUGUAAACAUGUUUGUCGGACUACACUUUUGCCUAAUCCCGGGUUCUGGAUACGGAGCUUCAGCUCCGCUCUGUUUAUUAGUUUUCAUUUCAAGGUACUCGGGAUAUCUGCAUUUAGUGAAAGUUGCUGGUUGGGUCUAUGCAGAACUGAGUAGAAACAGAGCUUUCUCUAGGAAAUAGGCUUUCAAAAAAUUUAAAAUAGGCAUUGAAAACACCCCGUCUGUGCAGGUAGGGCCAAGGUUUGCUGGCCGGGGUAGUACGGGUUGCUGGGAUCAAUGAAUUGAACACUUAAUGUGUGUAGAGCCCUGAACUAAGUGCAUGGGAGAGUAGAAUAGAGUUGGUAGACACGGUCCCUGCCCUCAAGGUGCAUACAGUCCAGGAGGAGGAGACAGGCAUUAAAAUAUAUGAGAAAGGAAGCAGCAGACCAUAAAGAUAUGUACAGAAGUGCUGUGGGGCUGGAUGUGAGGUAUCAAAGCGCUUAAAGGGUACAGAUCCAAGUGCAUAGAUGAUGAAGAAGGGACAGUGAAUAGGAUGGGGAAAUGAGAAGUUAAUCAGGGAAAGCUUCUUGGAGGAGAUAUGAUUUCAGUUGGGCAGACAGUGGUGGUCUAUUGGAUGUGAAGGGAAGGGGGAGGGAGUUCCAGGCCAGAGGUUGUGAGACAGGGGUUGACAGUGGGACAGUGAGUAGGUUGGCAUUGCAGGAGCGAAGUGUGUUGGCUGAGUUGUAGUGGGACAUGAGCAAGGCUCCACCCCCUUCACUCCUCCCUGCCCUAGCCCAGUCUAAAUCCAACCAUCCAAUGGAGGAGGAGAAGAAUCAUCCCGGAUAUCAACAUUUCCACAUGUUAAACCGAGGUAGGCUAUUGUGAUCUCCCUUGACCAGCUCCUCAGAAAAAUAUUUCAGAAUUUCCAUUAUAAAGUCAGUCUUCCCUAGACUAACCAUUUAGCUGAGAAAACCUAGUGUCGGGCAUAAACUUGGCAUUCAUAGUUGCAGUUUCAAAGGGCUUUGCAUUCUAUAGCUUUAAACAAAAUACGUAAAUAGAAAAAUAUUUCUAAUGGAAGACCCAUAGUAACACUCUGGCAUGCGGUAUCCGAAGCCUUAUAAUCUGCUUCAUGAAACAAAUGACACUAAGAAAGGGUAGAAAUUGCUUUUCCCUACUCCCACCUGAACCCCACACUGUAGAAAUUGCCAGAAAUGUAAAAGAAUUCUGGUCUAUGAUAAGGAUAGUUUCCCUUCAGGAACGAAAAACAAGCCAUGAUCUGAGACUUAAGGACCCAGAAGCUGCAAGGAGGAAUUGAUUCUAGUCCAGCGGUUUGCACACUCCAAUCUCACUCUCUUGAUCCUACCCAUCGUCUUCCCGCUGGGGCUCAGAGUUCAGUGAGGAAGUAGGUGGGCAGGGCACAGCACACCCCGAAGUGCAUGCAUGAAUUCUACCUAUUUGGCACCUCUUUUUAAAAUUUACCGAUCAUGAAAAUUAAUCCAGGAUGGCAAAUAGAGCGUCGACCAAUAGGGUUUUGUUUUCUUGGUGGUGC
rnacentral:lncRNA from 1 species